GACGAACCGAGCAAACGUUAUUCGGAAUCACUGGGCUUAAAGGGCGCGUAGGCGGGCAUCCAAGUCUGUGGUGAAAUCCGGCAGCUUAACUGUCGAACUGCCGUGGAUACUGGGUGUCUCGAGGGAGGUAGGGGCGUGCGGAACUAUUGGUGGAGCGGUGAAAUGCGUUGAUAUCCACAGGAACUCCGGUGGCGAAAGCGGCGUGCUGGACCUCUUCUGACGCUGAGGCGCGAAAGCUAGGGGAGCAAACGGG
rnacentral:rRNA from 1 species